UGUGGGAGCUGGCUCGCCUGCGAUAGCGGUGUGUCAGCCACAGAUAUAUUGCUGACCCACUGCUAUCGCAGGCAAGCCAGCUCCCACA
rnacentral:misc_RNA from 1 species